UGAGAAGCUUCCGGAACUCUUGUUCUGGCAAAUUUUGGACUGAAGCCUUCGGGCUUCAUUUUUUUUUAUUUCACUUUUCUUCCCCUUCACCCGGCGAUCGCGGCAGAGCCCCACAAGGCCGCGGGAACCCCAGGCUUUCACAGCCGCCAAGCUUCUCCGACAGCACCACCAUCCCACGUCCGACCUGCAAAGCGACGCCGCAGCGCAGAGGCCAGCGGAGGCCCGGGAACCAACAGGGUGCCAGGCGCUGCCUCUGCCGCGCUCGGCGCCUCCUGGCGUGGGCGUCCUCCGGCGGACAUCCGUCGAGCGGUUCCGCCAUGCAAAUCGACCCCGAGACCGCGAGCUGGAGAGGAAAGGCUUUUAACUAACGCUAUUAUUGUUACAGUUUCUGUACUAUAUUG
rnacentral:misc_RNA from 1 species